GAGCUCGCUUCAGCAGCACAUGUACUAAAACUGGAAAGAUGUCAAAACAUAGCAUGGCCCCCGCGCAAGGAUGACACACAAAUUCCUGAGGCGUUCCAUCUUUUU
ensembl:snRNA U6 U6 spliceosomal RNA